UACGGGAGGCAGCAGGAGGGAAUAUUGCGCAAUGGGGGAAACCCUGACGCAGCGACGCCGCGUGGGUGAUGAAGGCCUUCGGGUCGUAAAGCCCUGUCGUAGGGGAAGAACUGGCGGGCGGCUAAUACCUGCUCGCCUUGACGGUACCCUACAAGAAAGCACCGGCUAACUCCGUGCCAGCAGCCGCGGUAAUACGGAGGGUGCGAGCGUUGUUCGGAAUUACUGGGCGUAAAGGGCGUGUAGGCGUCCUGAUAAGUCAGAUGUGGAAGCCUUGGGCUUAACCCAAGAAUUGCAUUUGAAACUGUCAGGAUUGAGUCGUGCAUGGGAGGGCGGAAUUCCUGGUGUAGCGGUGAAAUGCGUAGAUAUCAGGAGGAAGGCCUGUGGUGAAGAUGGCCCUCUGGGCAAUGACUGACGCUGAGGCGCGAAAGCGUGGGUAGCAAACAGGAUUAGAUACCCUGGUAGUCCACGCCCUAAACGGUGGGUACUAGGUGUGGGUGGCGAUAGUCAUCUGUGCCGAAGGGAAACCAUUAAGUACCCCGCCUGGGGAGUACGGCCGCAAGGUUGAAACUCAAAGGAAUUGACGG
rnacentral:rRNA from 1 species